rnacentral:rRNA from 1 species
AGAUUGAACGCUGGCGGCAUGCCUAACACAUGCAAGUCGAACGGGAGUAGCAAUACUCUAGUGGCGGACGGGUGAGGAAUACGUAGGAAUUUGCCCUUAAGUGGGGGAUAACCCGGGGAAACCCGGAUUAAUACCGCAUGACCUCGAAAGAGCAAAGUGGGGGAUCGCAAGACCUCACGCUUUUGGAGAAGCCUACGUCGGAUUAGCUAGUUGGUGAGGUAAUGGCUCACCAAGGCGACGAUCCGUAACUGGUCUGAGAGGGACUGGACUACGACGUCAACACCGGAAUGAGACACGGUCCGGACUCACGGAGCAGCAGUGGGAUAUGGACAAUGGGC